rnacentral:tRNA from 1 species
GCGGGCGUGGCGGAAUGGCAGACGCGCCAGACUUAGGAUCUGGUGGGUUUCACCCGUGGAGGUUCAAGUCCUCUCGCCCGCACCA